UAUAAAACUUAAUAUAGAUAUAGCAUGAACGAGCACAAUAGUGAUAUGAUUUGUUGUUGCAGAACAUGAGCUACAACAAUGGUAGCAACUCAAUUCUGAAAAAGCUGAGGCUGAAGAAUCCGAAACUUGUGCUGUUGGAGAGUUGUUGCAGUGUUGAGGACCUAAAAAUCGUCCAUGCCCAUUUGCUAAGAACUCACCUUUUCUUCGAUGUAUUUGUAGCAAGUCGCCUUGUUGCUUUCUGCAUACACUCAACUGCCAACUUGCUUCAUUACGCCUUAAGGGUUGUCUCCCAAAUAAAAAAUCCCAACCUUUUCAUCUACAAUGCUCUCAUCCGAGGCUGUUCCACCAGCCAAUACCCACAAAAUUCUUUUCACUAUUACAUCAAAGCUCUACGCUUUGGUGUCAUACCUGAUAAUAUCACUCACCCGUUUUUGGUUAAAGCGUGUACUCAGUUUGAGUCUGCACCUAUGGGCAUGCAAGCACAUGGUCAAAUUAUUAAGCAUGGAUUUGAACUAGACUUUUUCGUUCAAAACUCCCUUCUUCAUAUGUAUGCAACUGUUGGGGACAUAAAGGCUGCAAGGAGCAUUUUUCAGAGAAUUGGUCGGUUUGACGUGGUUUCAUGGACUAGCAUGAUUUCAGGGUAUCACCGCUGUGGAGAUGUUGAAUCUGCACGUCAACUGUUUGAUAGAAUGCCCGACAGGAAUUUGGUGACCUGGAGCACGAUGAUUAGUGGUUAUGCACGGAAUAAUUAUUUUGACAAGGCGAUUGAGUUGUUUGAGGCUCUUCAGGCCGAAGGGGUGGUGGCUAAUGAGACUGUGAUGGUUGGGGUCAUAUCUUCUUGUGCUCAUUUGGGGGCUCUUGCAAUGGGGGAGAAAGCUCAUGACUAUGUGACGAGAAAUAACUUAAGUUUGAAUCUGAUUCUUGGGACAGCUGUGGUUGAUAUGUAUGCAAGAUGUGGGGACCUUGGGAAAGCUGUUAAGGUUUUUGAGGAACUGCCGGAAAAGGAUGUGCUUUGUUGGACAGCUUUGAUUGCCGGACUGGCCAUGCAUGGUUAUGCAGAGAAAGUACUGUGGUAUUUUUCAGAAAUGCUGAAAACGGGGUUGGUCCCAAGGGACAUUACGUUCACUGCAGUGUUGUCAGCAUGCAGCCAUGCAGGAAUGGUUGAGAGGGGUUUGGAAAUAUUUGAAAGCAUGAAAGAAGAUCAUGGAGUGGAGCCAAGAUUGGAGCACUAUGGAUGUAUGGUUGAUCUUCUUGGUCGUGCAGGGAAGUUGGGAGAGGCAGAGAAGUUUAUUCUCGAAAUGCCUGUGAAGCCAAAUGCUCCAAUAUGGAGAGCACUGCUAGGAGCAUGCAGAAUUCACAAGAAUGUAGAAGUUGGGGAAAGGGUGGGGAAAAUUUUGUUAGAGAUGCAACCAGAACAUAGUGGUCAUUAUGUGCUACUCUCGAACAUAUACGCUCGCGCAAAUAAGUGGAAAGAUGUUACUGUUAUGAGGCAGAUGAUGAAGGACAAAGGAGUAAGAAAGCCACCUGGAUACAGUCUCAUCGAAGUAGAUGGAAAGAUUCACGAAUUUACAAUUGGUGAUAAAACACACCCGGAAAUAGAGAAUAUAGAAAGAAUGUGGGAAGAUAUAAUACUCAAAAAAAUAAAACUAGCAGGGUAUGUUGGAAAUACAGCGGAUACAUUGUUUGACAUUGAUGAAGAGGAAAAGGAAAGUGCACUUCACAGGCAUAGUGAAAAGCUGGCCAUUGCAUACGGAAUCAUGAAGGUUCAGGCUCCUGCACCCAUUCGGGUUGUUAAAAACUUGCGUGUCUGUGAAGAUUGUCACACUGCUACUAAGUUUAUUUCAAAGGUUUUUCAAGUAGAGCUGAUAGUGAGAGAUCGAAAUCGAUUCCAUCAUUUUAAAGAAGGCACGUGUUCUUGUAAGGAUUACUGGUGAAACAACAAUCUCACUGUUUACGUAUUACUACGACCAUGGUUUAGAUAUAGCACAACCGGAUCAAAUCAAAUGAAUGAAGUUUCUCAAAAUUAUUAAAUCUGAAUUUUAACUAAUUUGAUUAUACGAUCAACGUUUUACUAAUUUUAAAACGUUUUAAAAUUUACAUAUUGUAAGCCUUUUUUAUUUAGCAUCUACUUUUAAACUAUUGUAGUCAGGUUUACAUGUGUUUAUCAACCGACCUCUAUUAUAUUUUAGUCAAGUUUUAGGGUAGAUAGUUUCUGAAAUUCAUAGUUUUCAUAGAGUCUCUUGAGGGUGAGAGGUCUGCGAAGUAUAGGGUUCUACGAUGUUGGCAGCAGGAGUCUCCUUUAGCGAGUGCAAAGAAACCGUGAAGGGAGUCUUGGGCUGUGGUGUGCAAAGAGUCUGGGGCUUAGGAUUCUCACGAGUGCAAAGUAACCGUGAGCUACCCCAUGGCUACGCAUGAUUCAGAAUUGAGAGUUUAAUUUGUUUGGGGAAUUAAUGAGAACCUGCACAUAUCAAGUUUCUGAAAUAGAAUCUGUAGGACGCCAAAGUGGGCCUCUGUCUUCACUCAACAUGUCUUCUUGAGCCAGAUUGAGAUUCAACUGACCAAAUAGAUCAAAUACUCAGUUCUGGGUUUUGCUCUGUUGAAGGAGUUCUGCAUUUUCCUGUCAUUGGUUUUUUAAAUUCUAAAAAUGUUCUUUUGAUUCCUGCCUUUGCAAUUUGCUUAGUUUAGUGAGUAGUGGUUGCUUGGUAGUUUUGAAUUCUUCGAAAGCUUGUCCAUAUCCAGUAAAAUCUGUAGCAUCAUAACUACAGUGCAUUGAUUCUGCAACUACAUAUU